rnacentral:lncRNA from 1 species
GCAGUAGGCAGUCAGUUCCCGAUCAGAUCAGCAGCUACUUCGAGGUGAGUUACCUUCCAGUAGCGGUGGGUCUACGGCCACAAUGCCGGCCCACCAGUAGGAGUUGUAUGUUAGAUGAUUGUCUUUGUGAUAUCAUCUAGGUUUGCUACUACCUGAUAUGUUAUAUGCUGGCAUGAUAUGUAUAUGUGAUAGUUGUAGAGUUCGGUUGUUAGGACCGAAGGGUAGGUCAGACACCCCAGAUAUGUCUGACAGUACGUGAUGAUAUGUUUGCAUGCUGGCUUGUUAUGUUAUAUGCGAUAAAGGUAGUAAGAGGGGACUAGUCCCCGAGGAUCGGUUGUUAGGACCGAUGGGUAGUCAGCACCCCAGAAUGGCUUGACACGGGUAGUCAGCACCCCAGAAUGGCUUGACACGGGUAGGACGGCACCCCAGAAUGGCCGUACCGGGUAGUCAGGCACCCCAGAAUAGCCUGGCAGUAUGUAUGUUAUGUGUUUGUAUGGUAUGUGGUACGAUGGGGGAACUCACUAAGCUUUGUGCUUACGGUUUUCAGUUUUGGUUUCAGGUACCUCCUCAGCUAGGGGAAAGGAGCCGGCGCGGUAGCAGCAUGUCACACACACACUCUCUGGUUUCCGCAUUUACGAGCUUCACUGGGAUUUGUACUCUGAUAUUUUGAUUGGUUGUAUGAUUUGGCUUUUAGACAUGGUUCACGUUGUGUUAUGGUUUGAUCAAACAAUGUUUUUAGUUAUUAAUAUUUUCUAAAGUAAUGUUUUAAAACAAAAUUUUUGGUCGUGAAAAUUGGGUCGUUACAAGUUGGUAUCAGAGCCCUGGUUUGAGGGAUUCGGACACACCUUCGGGAGUGUCUGAACUCAAAUCGAGGGAUUAAAAGAUUUUCUAAAAGAAAAUGUUUUCUAAAAUUUGAGAAAAGAGUUUCGAGAAAGAACGAAGUGUGUGAUGUGCGCGACCGGCCGAGCUCAAGUAAGUAUUCCCCAAAGUACCCAUACAAGUUUAUGUUAUGUUUAUCAGCUUUUGUAGAACAGCAUGCUAGAAUAGGACUAAGGAUCUAGGAGUGAUGCCUUAUGUGCCUGCUUUAUGUGUUUCAGUUGUAUGAGAAUUGCAUGCUAGAUAUUGAGUAGACAGUAAGUAGGAUAGCCUGAUUAGGUUAUGCCUGGUAGUAUGAGCUUAGCACUAAAUGCUAGCUCAGUUCCUGAAAGUAGAUAGAGUUAAUUGAGAUUGUUACCCUUAUCUGAAUGCUGCUUGCUUCGUGCUACGUGGGACUCUGAAUAAUGGGAGUUAGCCAUUAGGCGAAUGCGUCACGUCACAUGUGAUCAGGGUUGAAUAAUCUUAGAGUGCCGGAUUUGAUCCUACUGCGCAGCUCUUGUUUGAGUCCAACCGUUGUAGGGACGAGUCGGGUACUCGAAGGAUUAUCUGAGCCUCGUCACAUGUGAUGGUAUUCGGGUAAUGGCUAAUUGGCAUUACAAGGAGGCCUGCAGCAGCUGAGGACUGGUUAGAGUGGAAUUAGAGAUUUCCCUAGGGCAAGCCUAGGAUGAGUAUAGCAGUGAUCAGCAGUAGUGAAAGGGAUCUGGUGGAGUCGAGGCAUUCCUUGAAGAAGGUACGGAUAGAUGUGGAAGGUAGUAUGGGCCCGUACUACUGAAAGCAGAGGAUCCGUACCCGAACCAAGGAAGGCCAAGAUAAGACCAGGGAACUUGUAAGUAGUUGUGAUCCCUCAGGAAGUAUCAGUAUCACUAAUGAUUGUUGUGAUGUAUUGCAGAAUGGUGGUACUUCGAUCGAGGCCGGUAGAUGGCGGUUCAGGAGAGGGGUCAGGUUCGGGAUCAGGUUCCGAGCCGGUUGAUGAGGGACUACGCGAGUUCAUCGCGUCAGAGAUCACCAGAGGCAUCCUUGAGUCGACCCCCAUUCUCUUUGGGUCGAUCAAGGAAGGGAUCAUGGAGUUGAUGGAGGAUCGCCUUCGGGCAUUCAGGAGUGAUAUGGCAUCUAGCCAGUCAGGAUCUCGCACACUGUCCUUCAAGGACUUCAGGGGCAGUGGUGCGCCGGAUUUCCAUGGGGUGAAGGACCCCAUUGCUGCCAGGCGAUGGAUUGCAGACAUCGAGUCUGCACAGUUGACUAGCUUCUGCCCCGAGGGGUCGAAGGUGAGGUAUGCAGCAGGGUGUUUACGGGACCGAGCCCGGGAUUGGUGGGAGUCAGUGGGUGACUCGUUGGGAGCCUCAGCUAUCGAGGCUAUGACCUGGUCGGACUUUGUGACCAGGUUCAGGGCAGAGUUUGCGCCGGCUGUCGAGCUUCAGCAGCUGGCCAGGGAGUUUCUAGACAUGAGGCAGACGACGGAGACUGUGGCGGAGAUCACCGCCAAGUUCCGGGAGAGGGCUUUGUUGGUGCCCCAGUAUGCUGGUGACGAGGACAUGAGGAGGACUCGUUAUCAUGAUAUGCUACGAGCUGACAUCCGGGAGCAUGUUAGCUUUUCGGCUUGCCCUACCUUGGACUCUAUGAUUGCCAGGGCGAGGGAGAGGGAGAUAGAUUUGGAGCACAUCCGGAAACGGAAAUUAGAGGAGGGACAGGCAGGAGGGGCUUCGGGGAAGAAGCCCAAGGGAUCAGAUGGUAGGCCGAAAGGCCAGUCAGGACCGAGCCGCUGCAGGAAAUGCGGCAGGCCGCACGAGGGGGCGUGCAGGAUGGGAUCAUCAGGCUGCUACAAGUGCGGCAAGUCUGGGCACAUCAGCAGGGAUUGCACUGCUCCGGCAGCAGUUAUUCAGACAUCAGAGUUGCUGUGUUUCCACUGCAACCAGAGGGGCCACAAGAAGGCCAAUUGCCCCCAGUUGACAGUCUCAGCGCCGGUGAAGGCGCCAGCUCCAGCGACCCUGCGGAUCACGGAUGGCCGACAGGGCAAGUCAGAGGCUCCAGUGGUGAGGAGCCGAGCAUUUCAGCUGACUACCGAGGAGGCACGCGCCGCACCCGAUGUGGUGACGGGUAUGAUUCUUUCCCUCUAUCUUAUUUUUAUGAUGUUAUGUUAUUGAUAUGUGCUCCGUAUGUAUAUGUAUGCAUUAGGAUCGUUCCAUGUGAACGGCCUUCCAGUUCAGGUGUUGUUCGACUCGGGUGCGUCCCGAUCAUUUGUUUCCCUUGCGCUUAGCAAGAAGUUUCAUGAGUCAUCAGGCGAGUUAGAUUGCCCUUUGGAGGUGGAGAUUGCUGAUGAUCGAUCGGUGCGAGCAUCGAUGGUAUUUUGAGAUUGCGUGCUGCGUUUGUUUGAGGAGCGCUACUUGGUAGAUUUGGUUCCCAUUCUGUUGCGUGGGAACACGGUGAUUAUAGGCAUGGAUUGGCUGAGCCCUAAUGGGGCGGUUUUAGAUUGCGUGCAACAGCUAGUGCGGGUCAGGACCCUAGCUGGGGGAGAGUUAGUAAUUCAUGGCGAGAGGCCGCAGUAUGGACCCGCAAUAUGUUCAGCAGCCAGGGCGACGCGCUACCUUCAGCAGGGAUGCGCAGGAUAUGUCGCGUAUGUGAUGGAUACCCGGGAGGCGGGUAAGGCGACAGUGAGCGAGGUUCCGGUGGUCCGAGACUUUGCAGAUGUUUUCCCGGAGGAGCUUCCUGGGAUACCUCCGGAGCGACAGGUGGAGUUCAGGAUUGACCUUGUUCCUGGUGCGGCUCUGAUAGCCAAGGCGCCGUAUCGGUUGGCUCCUCCCGAGAUGCAGGAGUUGUCUACGCAGCUGCAGGAGAUGCAAGACAAGGGAUUCAUUAGACCGAGUAGUUCACCCAGGGGAGGCCCGAUUUUGUUCGCGAAGAAAAAGGACGGGUCGCAUCGGAUGUGUAUAGAUUAUCGGGAGCUGAACAAGGUAACGGUGAAGAACCGUUACCCGCUCCCGAGGAUUGAUGACCUCUUUGACCAGCUUCAGGGAGCAUCUUGGUUCUCCAAGAUUGAUUUGCGUUCGGGUUAUCAUCAGAUGAGGGUCAGGGAGGAGGAUACGCAGAAGACCGCGUUUCGGACGCGCUAUGGCCAUUAUGAGUUUGUGGUGAUGCCGUUUGGGCUCACCAAUGCUCCUGCCGCGUUCAUGGACCUCAUGAACCGCGUAUGCAGACCGAUGCUGGAUCGGUCUGUGAUAGUCUUUAUCGAUGACAUCUUGGUUUAUUCCAAGACUCGGGAGGAACAUGAGGAGCAUCUGAGAGAGGUGUUGGAGACCCUGAGGAGGGAGAGCUUGUAUGCCAAGUUCUCCAAGUGUGAGUUUUGGUUGCGCGAGGUGCAAUUUCUCGGACACCUCGUCAACCAGAACGGGAUUCUGGUCGAUCCGGCCAAGGUCGAGGCCGUGAUGAGAUGGGAGGUUCCGAAGUCUCCAUCUGAGAUUCGGAGUCUUCUGGGAUUAGCAGGCUACUAUCGGAGAUUUAUUCAGGAUUUCUCCAAGAUAGCCGUACCCCUGACGUCGUGGUCUUUCGGUGGGGACCUGAGCAGCAAGCUGCGUUUGAGACGCUAAGACAGAGACUGUGCGAGGCGCCGAUCUUAGCCCUGCCAGAGGCCGUGGAGGAUUUUGUGGUAUACUGUGACGCGUCCAUUUCUAGGUUGGGCGCGGUACUGAUGCAGAGGGGGCAUGUCAUUGCCUACGCUUCGAGGCAGCUCAAGCCUCACGACGCGAACUACCCGACGCAUGAUUUGGAGUUGGGGGCGGUGGCUUUUGCCCUAAAGAUUAGGCGGCAUUACCUCUACGGGGUUCGGUGUACCAUCUACACGGACCACAAGAGUUUGAGAUACCUCAUGGAUCAGCCGAAUCUGAAUAUGAGGCAGCGUCGGUGGUUGGACGUGGUAAAGGAUUAUGAUUGCGAGAUCCUCUACCCCCCGGGGAAGGCAAAUGUGGUGGCCGAUGCGCUUAGCCGCAAGGCGGCGCCGAUCAGGGACGUUUGCAUGAGGAUGACCGUGGUGACUCCCCUGUUGGAGCAGAUUCGGGAGGCUCAACAGGAGGCUAUCAAGGAGGAGCAUCGGAAGAGCGAGCGUGUGGUGGGUCAGGUUUCCUCCUUUGAUUAUGAUAGCCGAGGACUAUUGACACUACACCGUAGGGUGUGGGUGCCGUAUCACGGAGGCGUGCGCCAGAUUUUGAUGGAGGAGGCGCACAAGUCCCGAUUCUCUAUUCAUCCCGAGGCGACGAAGAUGUAUAGGGAUCUUCGUCUAGAUUAUUGGUGGCCCUGCAUGAAGUGGGAUGUGGCAUGGUACGUUGAGCGCUGCUUGACCUGCAGGAAGGUCAAGGCCGAACAUCAGAGACCGCAUGGCAAGAUGCAGCCGUUGGAUAUUCCACUGUGGAAAUGGGAAGAUAUCACGAUGGAUUUUAUCACGAAGCUUCCCAGGACCGCACGUGGAGUGGAUUCGAUUUGGGUCAUCGUGGAUAGAUUGACCAAGAGUGCUCACUUUAUCCCGAUUCAGGAGAGCAUAUCGGCCGAGAAAUUGGCCGACAUCUAUAUCAGGGAGAUUGUGGCACGGCAUGGGGUGCCAGUAUCGGUGAUCUCGGACAGGGAUGUGCGUUUUACUUCCAGGUUUUGGAAGAGAUUCCAUGACGAGUUGGGCACUCGUCUGCAUUUCAGCACCGCCUUUCACCCGCAGACAGAUGGACAGAGUGAGCGGACCAUCCAGACUUUGGAGGACAUGUUGCGGGCGUGUGUUCUGGAUUUCGGUGGUAGCUGGGAUACCUAUCUUCCUUUGGCUGAGUUCUCCUACAACAACAGCUAUCACGCGAGUAUCGACCGCCCUCCCUUCGAGAUGUUGUACGGACGGAGGUGUAGGACCCCGAUAUGCUGGGGUGAGGUUGGCCAGAGAGUCAUGGGAAGCACCGAAGUGGUGCUCAAGACGACUGAGAGGAUACAGCAGGUCCGGAGCAGGCUUCAGACUGCUCAGAGUCGGCAGAAAAGUUAUGCCGACAAGCGUCGAUCCGAUUUAGAGUUCCAGGUCGGGGAUAUGGUCCUCCUGAAGGUGUCGCCGUGGAAAGGCGUCAUCCGAUUCAGGAAGCGGGGCAAGUUGGGCCCGCGAUUCAUCGGACCGUUCAGGGUCUUAGCCCGGGUGGGCAAGGUAGCAUAUAGGCUGGAUCUGCCAGCCGAGCUUAGCCAGAUCCACAGCACUUUCCAUGUUUCGCAGUUGCGGAAGUGCCUAGUGGACGAUUCUGCAGUAGUACCUUUGGAGGAUAUUCAGGUUGAUGACAGCCUGAACUACAUCGAGCGCCCAGUCGCAAUCCUCGACAGGAAGUCGAAGGAUUUAAGGAACAAGAGGGUGGAGCUAGUGAAGGUGCAAUGGCAGCACCGCAAGGGUUCAGAGUGGACUUGGGAGCCGGUAGACGAGAUGAUGGAGCACUACCCCGAGCUGUUUCAGGAUCAGGCAGCAGACUUCGAGGACGAAGUCUAAAAUAAGUGGGGGAGAUUUGUAGCACCUGGUUUCCGGUAUGUGAAUUUUAUUUGAGCAUUGCCCUAAUUUAGCCUUAGACUCGGCGAGUCAUAGGGUCCGACUCGCCGAGUAGGGACGAGACUCAGGACGCGUUUUAAGUAGGCGACUCGACGAGUCCAUAUCCUGGACUCGGCGAGUCACCGCUGCGGGAUGAAACCCUAAGUUUCAAGGGUUUGCACCCUAUUUAAACCCUCAUUCCGCCCCAACUCGUCCCCAUUCACCCCAGAACUCCCCCUACAUCGUUUUCCCCUUGUUUUCUUGAGAGUUUGAGGUGCUCUUAGUGUAUUCUUGAAGGUUUUGAAGUGUAAGAGGAGUAGAUCAAGAAGAGGAGAAGGAGAUCAGCCAUCCUUGUGUCAUUUCAACAUUUCCUUUGAGGUAUAACCCGUUUUCCCCUUGAUUCUAUGCUUAAAACUUCAUUUGGGUCCUUCUUGGUCAAUUCCCCAAGUUUGCAUGUUCAUUAUAUGUUGUAAUAAGGCGUUUGGCCUUUGGAUCUAUGUAAGAUUGAGCUCCAGGAGCUCAGAUCUGUUAGCUUUUUGGCCUCAUGAGGCUUGUUAGCCCUAGAUCUACCAUUUUGAGACAUUUUGAGCCUUAUAAUCCAUAUUGGUGAAUAUCCACACGUAAAGUUGGAAACUUUACGUGUGAUUCGUGUCCUAGAAGUCCAGAUCUAUGAAUGGCAUGGUCUGGAACCGAGCAAAUCGGUAUAUUUAAGGAGUGCAUGGCGACGACUCGGCGAGUCGCAUAGGUGACUCGGCGAGUCUGGUCGCGAGUCACCGAAUUGGUCCCUUCUUCAUGUGUCGAGUUGAGCCUUGAGUCACAGGGGGUGACUCGGUGAGUUGGGAGCUGAACUCACCCAUGUUAGGACUCGGCGAGUCAAUGCCCUGACUCGGCGAGUCCAAGGCAAUCUUCAUAGCUCAAGAACAGACUCGGCGAGUUGUUCAUACAACUCGGCGAGUCUUAGCAUAAAGUGUUCAUCGGAUGAAGAUGAACUCGACGAGUUGUUCAUACAACUCGGCGAGUAGGAUGAAGGUGUUGAAUGGCAGUUAGAAGGUGAACUCGUCGAGUCAUAGCCCGACUCGACGAGUAGAACCAGGGACCCAGGACAUUGGUUUGCUAGGGACUCGGCGAGUGGUGAUCCACUCGGCGAGUCGGGUCAACUGAAAGUUGACUCCAGCUUUGGCUUAGAGUUAAUCCAGGGGUAAAAUGGUCAUUUUACCUAAAGGACAGUUAGCAGUGUUUGAUUGAGUAUGUCGUGGAAAUUGCAGCCGGAGGACUCCCGGAGCAGCAGCAGUCAGUUAGUUCCCGAUCAGUUCAGCAGCUACUUUGAGGUGAGUUACCUUCCAGUAGCGGUGGGUCUACGACCACAAUGUCGGCCCACCGGUAGGAGUUGUAUGUUAGAUGAUUGUCUUUGUGAUAUCAUCUAGGUUUGCUACUACCUGAUAUGUUAUAUGCUGGCAUGAUAUGUAUAUGUGAUAGUUGUAGAGUUCGGUUGUUAGGACCGAAGGGUAGGUCAGACACCCCA